rnacentral:rRNA from 1 species
AUUGAACGCUGGCGGCAGGCCUAACACAUGCAAGUCGAACGGUAACAGGAAGCAGCUUGCUGCUUUGCUGACGAGUGGCGGACGGGUGAGUAAUGUCUGGGAAACUGCCUGAUGGAGGGGGAUAACUACUGGAAACGGUAGCUAAUACCGCAUAACGUCGCAAGACCAAAGGGGGGGACCUUCGGGCCUCUUGCCAUCGGAUGUGCCCAGAUGGGAUUAGCUAGUAGGUGGGUAACGGCUCACCUAGGCGACGAGCCCUAGCUGGUCUGAGAGGAUGACCAGCCACACUGGAACUGAGACACGGUCCAGACUCCUACGGGAGGCAGCAGUGGGGAAUAUUGCACAAUGGGCGCAAGCCUGAUGCAGCCAUGCCGCGUGUAUGAAGAAGGCCUUCGGGUUGUAAAGUACUUUCAGCGGGGAGGAAGGGAGUAAAGUUAAUACCUUUGCUCAUUGACGUUACCCGCAGAAGAAGCACCGGCUAACUCCGUG